rnacentral:misc_RNA from 1 species
CAACCCUCAAGCUCUGCUUGGUAUUAAGCUUCACCUUUACAGGCGGGCUUUAAAAUCAGUGGCGGUGCCAUUUGGCUUCAAGCGUAGUAAAUUUCUCGCUUUGGAGAACCAUAUGUGUGCCUGCCAGCAACCCCAAUUUUUUAAA